rnacentral:lncRNA from 1 species
GCUAUGGAUACGAAAGACAUCACAAAGGGUGGGACACUGUGAAUGGUAAGGAGGAAUUAGAGAAUACACUAAGCUCUUAAGAACUUUGGAGAAUAGUAACAUCUUGGGCAGAAAUAAAGAAGUCAGAAUAAACAAGCCUUUGACGGAUGAAAUCAUCACAUUGAUGCAGGAUUCUCUCCAUCUAGUGCUGAGAUCUGCAGCAGGUAAGGUUUACAAGUCAAAUUGCUCAGAAGUCCCUACAAUAGGAUGGAGCUUACACACUGCGAACUCCU